GUUUUACGAGUAACUGUGUCUGGACUCGAGAGUGGCGACGGCACGGUGACGUCAUAACAUGGACGUAUUGCAGUGAAAAUUUUCAGAGAAACCGAAUUUGACACAAGUUAUAGAAACACUGCAUUUACCGUUCAGAGAUGGCGUCAAUGUUGUCUCCUUCAGAGUCCGAGUCAUCACAGUACAGCAGCGACCGUGUACCUCUAGCUGAUGAAGAUGGUAAAGGAGACAGUGUAGAAGAUUUGUGCAGUGAGACAAUGAGCAAAAGUGAUUGUAGUAAUCUAACAACAGGAUCCAUCAGUCUUGAGCCAGACAUCACUCCAGAGGAUGCAGAAGAAAAGGCUAGACUCAUCUCGCAAGUCAUGGAAUUGCAAAACACACUAGAUGAUCUGUCUCAGCGUGUCGACUCGGUAAAGGAGGAAAAUCUCAAGCUGAAGUCUGAGAACCAAGUGCUAGGGCAAUACAUCGAGAAUCUGAUGUCAGCAAGUAGCGUGUUCCAGUCAACUGCUCCACAGACUAAGAAAAAUUCUUCUGAUACAGGCCUGCUCCAAAGAAGAAAUAAGACGGACGUCUGGAGCUGCUUCACCUUCAUAUAGGAGAGAGGGAGUCGGCAAGAGUGGGUGCAAUCUUCAGCUCUCGAUUUUCACCGAGCUACGCAUUCCAAGCAUUCUGUGCGUUCGCUGAUGUGGGGCCGUUACGAUAAUUAAGUCUAGCUUUUUUUAGUUCGCCCGCGUUGAUAAUAUUGGUGCAGAUUUGUUCAAAUCAGGCGUGGAACAAUCUUCACUGUGUGUUUGGUACAGACAAGUCACCAUUCUUACUGUAAUCUAAUGAAGGUCAUAGGUCGUGGUGUGUGUGUGUGUGUGGUAUGUGUGGUAAAUGCACUGUUGCAAAAUUUAGGCCACACGAAUUCUGCUAUUACCAUGCAUGCGCGAGAAAGCUGUCCUGAUCAAGAUUUCGUUCACACACUGCUUCUAGUGUUUGUAUGUGUGCCAGCAUGAACAUAUCUAUAUUAGUAAAGACGAGUCCAUGGUAAUGGUUGCAACGUGGCAGCACAUGGCAAAAAAAUACCACAUCGUGUUGGUUUGCAUACGGUACUAGAUGUUUGAUUUCUUUAUAUUUAAUGCGCUCAGUGUAAUGUCUUGUAAAACACAUUUUGUAUUAUCAUUCUCUUCAUUUCGAUAGGUGUGCCAUGUAUAAUUGUCACUUCGUACCCAUCAGUGAUUUUUCAUAAUUUUUUUCUUAUACAUUGAGCAUGUGUACCAAUGUAACUGAAAUUUACAAUUACUGAAUUAGUCUAGUCAUAUGUUACAUCCUGUGACAUUACUGUAUGAUCCCGUUAUAUUUCAAAAAUAAUCGUGGAACGGUUUGAGGUGUAUUUCUUUUUUAACAUUUUAAUACACAGGAUGUGGAAUGUGAGGCAAGAAGUUUUUAAUUUUAUCUUUAGUAUUUAUUCGUAAAUUAGUCAACACAUUGUAAAUACAUUUAAUUAGCUAAAUAACCUAUAAUGAAAUGAAGUGUCUUGAGUUUUGUUGAUGUAUGUUUUGUCACAAUAAAGCUUUUAAGUUGGUUGCCA
rnacentral:misc_RNA from 1 species